UGUCCAUUUAAGCUUACCUUUGUAAAGAAAAAAUUGUGGGCUAUUGUAUAAGCUGAGCAGACUAGCGGUAGAUGAUUUAAACAGAUAGAGUGGUCAGUGGUCAAAAUCAAAGACAACUAAUUUAUGCUAAAAACUCAAAAUUAAAAACCACAUGAAAAAGCAUAUAAUGGGCAUCAGUCAUAAAGGAUGGUAAGUCAGUAUAUAUACAUGACAAGAAAAAUACUCCCGGUCAAGGAUAAGGUCCCAGCAGUCCAGGUAGAGCAUAUAUGUGUGAGAGGCUUCAUUCCAGGGGCACCAGGCUACAACAUGAAGCUUCACUCGAUGCCAACUGA